CUCAGGGUUAAACUAAACAAAACAAUAUUGCACCAACCUUAUUAGAGAGCAACACUCUGCUAGCUAGCCUGUUGCUUUCCUUUCUGCACUCCCAGUGCUCCAAGCCAGCCUUGCCCUGACUGCUUUCCUUUCUGCACUCCCAGUGCUCCAAGCCAGCCUUGACCUGACUGCUUUCCUUUCCGCACUCCCAGUGCCUCCAAGCCAGCCUUGAC